rnacentral:misc_RNA from 1 species
UCAUAUGCUCUGUGACGACUCAUCCGAAUAAUUACGGUUAUUAGAAUAAAAUAAUUACAUGGCUCAUUGAAUGUAUAUCACUGAAACGUAAACUUAUUCUGCGACGCAUGAUCACUUAGUAAUAGUUAGUUAUCCAGUGCUUAAAGCUGACCAACGCAUAAAAUUUACUUCUAUUUAAUAUAUUAGACAUGUUUUUUGAUCUGUUAGGCGGCCUCUUUGAAUUCAUAAUAGGUUUAUUUUUUCCAAGCUCUGACGAUGAACCGGACUCAGAUGAAGUAGAGACGGUCGACGUAACAACGGCAGCGGAUGCUGAAAUUUUAACCUGAACUAGCCAUGUACAUACAUAUAUAUAAGUAAAUUGCAGUUUUAAUUCUUUAAAACGCAAUACAAAAGUUCUUGUUAAAUAUUAUUGUAUUAAUUUUUAAUUAUGAAUAAUUGAAUAAUACAAUGUUUUUGUUUAAAACUUUAAAAAUAAAGGGAUGUGAUUGAUAACUUCAGUACCCAAUGAAAUUA